rnacentral:rRNA from 1 species
UAACACGUCAUUAAUCUGCCCAUAGGUCAGGGACAGCCUUGGAAAACUGAGGGUAAACCCUGAUAGAAGAUUAUCACUGGAAUGUGUUUUCUUUUAAAAGUAAUGCCUAUGGAUGAGAUGGCGGCUGAUUAGAUUGUUGGCGGGGUAACGGCCCACCAAGUCUAUGAUCAGUACGGGCCUUGAGAGAGGUAGCCCGGAGAAGGACACUGAGAAACUGGUCCUAGCCCUACGGGGUGCAGCAGGCGCGAAACCUUUACAAUGCACGAAAGUGUGAUAAGGGAAUCCAGAGUGCUUAUACUAAGUAUAGGCUUUUGCCAAAAGUAAAAAUUUUGGCGAAUAAGUGGUGGGUAAGACUGGUGCCAGCAGCCGCGGUAACACCAGCGCCACGAGUGGGAGCCAUAUUUAUUGGGCCUAAAGCGUUCGUAGCUGGCUUGAUAACUCUUCUGUGAAAUUGUUUAGCUUAACUAAACAGCGUGCAGAGGAAACUGUCAAGCUUGGGACCGGGAGGAGUCAGAGGUAUUCUUGGGGGAGCGGUAAAAUGUUAUUAUCCUUAGAAGACCACCUGUGGCGAAGGCGUCUGACUAGAACGGAUCCGACAGUGAGGGACGAAAGCUAGGGGAGCAAUCCGGAUUAGAUACCCGAGUAGUCCUAGCCGUAAACGCUGUGAGUUAGGUGUUGCACAUUCCCAGAGAAUGUGCAGUAUCGAAGCGAAGGCAUUAAACUCACCGCCUGGGAAGUACGGUCGCAAGACUGAAACUUAAAGGAAUUGGCGGGGGAGCACCACAAGGGGUGCGGCGUGCGGUUUAAUCUAACUCAACGCAGAAAAUUUCACCAGGGGCGACGGCAGUAUGAAAGUCAGUCUGAAGGGCUUACUCGACGAGCCGAGAGGUAGUGCAUGGCCGCCGUCAGCUCGUGCCGUAAGGUGUCCUGUUAAGUCAGGCAACGAGCGAGACCUGUACUUACAAUUGCUAGCGUCUACUUCGGUAGGAGCGAGCACUUUGUAGGGACUGCCUUGGAAACAAGGAGGAAGGUGCAGGCUACGGUAGGUCUGUAUGCUCCGAAUCUCCUGGGCUACACGCGCGCAACAAUGGUUGGGACAAUGGGAUGCGACUCCGAAAGGAGAAGCCAAUCCUCUAAACCCAAUCUUAGUUCAGAUUGAGGAUUGUAACUCAUCCUCAUGACGCUGGAAUCCCUAGUAAUCGGAUCUCAUCAUAAUCCGGUGAAUAUGUCCCUGCUCCUUGCACACACCGCCCGUCAAACCACUCGAGCAGAGUUUAGGUGAGGGUUAGUUUUUUGACUAUUCCGAACUUAAACUCAGUGAGAUGGGUUAAGUCGUCACAAGGUA